UGUGUGUGUGUGUGUGUGUGUGUGUGUGUGUGUGUCCUACGUGAUGGAGUUCUGGUGCAGUGUCUCCAGGGCUGUGUGUGUGUGUGUGUGUGUCCUACGUGAUGGAGUUCUGGUGCAGUGUCUCCAGGGCUGUGUGUGUGUGUGGGUGUGUGUGUGUGUCCUACGUGAUGGAGUUCUGGUGCAGUGUCUCCAGGGCUGUGUGUGUGUGGCUGUGUGUGUGUGUGUCCUACGUGAUGGAGUUCUGGUGCAGUGUCUCCAGGGCUGGCUGUGUGUGUGUGUCCUACGUGAUGGAGUUCUGGUGCAGUGUCUCCAGGGCUGUGUGUGUGUGUGUGUGUCCUACGUGAUGGAGUUCUGGUGCAGUGUCUCCAGGGCUGUGUGUGUGUG